AUUGAACGCUGGCGGCAGGCCUAACACAUACAAGUCGAGCGGAUGAAGGGAGCUUGCUCCUGGAUUCAGCGGCGGACGGGUGAGUAAUGCCUAGGAAUCUGCCUGGUAGUGGGGGAUAACGUCCGGAAACGGGCGCUAAUACCGCAUACGUCCUGAGGGAGAAAGUGGGGGAUCUUCGGACCUCACGCUAUCAGAUGAGCCUAGGUCGGAUUAGCUAGUUGGUGGGGUAAAGGCCUACCAAGGCGACGAUCCGUAACUGGUCUGAGAGGAUGAUCAGUCACACUGGAACUGAGACACGGUCCAGACUCCUACGGGAGGCAGCAGUGGGGAAUAUUGGACAAUGGGCGAAAGCCUGAUCCAGCCAUGCCGCGUGUGUGAAGAAGGUCUUCGGAUUGUAAAGCACUUUAAGUUGGGAGGAAGGGCAGUAAGUUAAUACCUUGCUGUUUUGACGUUACCAACAGAAUAAGCACCGGCUAACUUCGUG
rnacentral:rRNA from 1 species